UCAAAGGUCAAGGUCACUGUGACCUGAAAUAGUAAAAUGGUUUCCGGAUGAUAAUUCAAGAACGCUUAUGCCUAGGAUCAUGAAACUUCAUAGGUAGAUUGAUCAUGACUAGCAGAUGACCCCUAUUGAUUUUCAGGUCACUAGGUCAAAGGUCAAGGUCACGGUGACCCGAAAUAGUAAAAUGGUUUCCGGAUGAUAAUUCAAGAACCCUUAUGCCUAGGAUCAUGAAACUUGAUAGGUAGAUUGAUCAUGACUAGCAGAUGACCCCUAUUGAUUUUCAGGUCACUAGGUCAAAGGUCAAGGUCACAGUGACCCGAAAUAGUAAAAUGGUUUCCUGAUGAUAACUCAGGAAAGCUUAUGCCUAGGAUCAUGAAACUUCAUAGGUACAUUGAUCAUGACUCGCAGAUGACCCCUAUUGAUUUUCAGGUCACUAGAUCAAAGGUCAAGGUCACUGUGACCCGAAAUAGUAAAAUGGUUUCCGGAUGAUAAUUCAAGAACGCUUAUGCCUAGGAUCAUGAAACUUCAUAGGUAGAUUGAUCAUGACUAGCAGAUGACCCCUAUUGAUUUUCAGGUCACUAGGUCAAAGGUCAAGGUCACGGUGACCCGAAAUAGUAAAAUGGUUUCCGGAUGAUAAUUCAAGAACCCUUAUGCCUAGGAUCAUGAAACUUGAUAGGUAGAUUGAUCAUGACUAGCAGAUGACCCCUAUUGAUUUUCAGGUCACUAGGUCAAAGGUCAAGGUCACAGUGACCCGAAAUAGUAAAAUGGUUUCCUGAUGAUAACUCAGGAAAGCUUAUGCCUAGGAUCAUGAAACUUCAUAGGUACAUUGAUCAUGACUCGCAGAUGACCCGUAUUGAUUUUCAGGUCACUAGAUCAAAGGUCAAGGUCACAGUGACAAAAAACAUAUUUACAAAAUGGCUGUCACUACAACUUAGAGCCCAUAUGGGGGGCAUGCAUGUUUUACAAACAGCCCUUG